AAUAAUACGUUUUUAUUCAAGUUAAAAAACAUUUCGAUUUAUUAUUAAAAAACAUAAAAAAGAAAUUAACUUUGAAAAAGAAAUAAAUUUAAAAGUUUCAUAAAGUCAACGAAAAGAAGAAACAAAAUUCAACCAAGCAUGGAAUAAGUGCGUACUGCAUACACAUUUGAUUGAAGAGCCGACAAUGUUAUAAUUUGUCUACAAUAAUUAUUGCAUUAAUGCUGCAGUUCAUUACCUAAACAUAUAAAAUAAUCAUUUGCAAAAUGUAUUUAAAUCUACCAGCUGCACUUAAAAUAUUGAGGAAAAAAUCAUCGCGAUAUCGACUUGAUCAGAAAGUUGAAAAUAGAUCGGCUAUUAUGGCUGGGACAUGUGCAGCGUAUGAAUACCCAUUCACCAGCCCAACGGCAGGCGCAUUGGAAACAACCACAUACAACUUGGCGCCUCCUUAAGCAACAUAAAUAGUGUAAAAUGAAAUACUAACAAAACAACAUCGCAACACUUCCACUUGAAAUCUUAAGCAGUAACAAAGUUGAAUGUAAAAUUGGUCGAGUUGGAUACUUAAUUUUAAUUAAUUAAUUAAUUUUGUAAUUAAAUAAAUCAUAACGAUCCAGUACUGAACCCAAGGUUCAGAUCUUUCCUAUUAAGCAGUAUCCUCAUAGAAUGUUUUAAAAUAAGAAGACAGAAUGCUUAUAAAAUCCAUCACUUCAACCAUCAUAAAAUCAAACAUUUGUCAUCAUCCUAACUACUUUUAUGCAUUUGCGGCAGUUCCGUUCCAAAGUUUAAAAACAACUGUUUUUCUGGUUGUAUUAUGGUAUGAAAAUUAAAUGACUCCAUAGCCACGUUUAUUUCUCGGAACACAAUAUUUGUCAAAGGCCUUUAGCACUAUGUGUGAGCGAAAUUUUUUUUUCAAUAUAUUUCUUUUCCUGUAUUAUAAAUGUUUGAUCCAUGGUCUAAAAUGCAUAAAUACAGAAUUUCAAUCUUCUGCGUCGAUAUCUUCAGGUGGCGCACUGGACUAGAACUUUGGAGCAAAAUCGAAAAAAAGGUAUCUCAAAACGGUGGAAAUAAAAUGCCUUAAAAUAUUUUGAUUUUUUUCUUUGUUUAUUAAAUAUAUUAUAUAAAUAGAUACAAGAACAGUAAAUUAAAUUUAAAAAAAGUUUAGUUGUUUCCAUCAAAAGUCAUUGGAUUUUCGAUGCGGUUGAAAUAUUGAGAUUUUGUUUCAAAAACCCGAUUUGAUCUUUGCUAUAAUGUAGCCAUCUCUUGCCUCUUAUUUUUAUGUUAGUUUUGUAUCUAGUUUUAAUAAUACAAAAUACUGUGUCUCCAUUCUUAUAUUCUUAUUUUUAAAAUUCAAAUGUAAUCGUUCGCGUUUUUUUUACGCUGGCUUUAGUUAUUUUAUCAAUAACUUCUAAUUGCCUUAUAAAGCAACUUUGUUCUGUCUCGAAUCAGGAAUACCUUCUAUGAAAUACUCGAUCACACUCUCGUCAUCGAGUGCAACGAGAUUUCCAAGCUCUUAACUCUCAGUUAGUUUUCUUUGUCGUGAUCUGAGCCUAUGAUGAACCUCGGCCGAUGAAAUUUUAUACCAAACUCUUUAACGAGAGUUUGUUUCAAAAUAACCCAAUUUUUUGCAAUGGCGUGGCUCUUAACGAACAUUUUUGCUGCGCCCCUCAGUAGCUGUUUAGCAUAAAUAUACUGUUGGACGUCAUCCCAACCAACUGUCACUGCAUUUUCUUCAAUCUCUUGGAUCCAUUGAUUAACGUCAAUGGAUCUGCCGCCAUCGAAGUGGGAAAGCGAAUCUUCGAUAUCUCGAAGGGUGAAUCUGCUCAUUGCCAAUUCCAUUCCACCCCUUGCCUCCUCAAACUGGUCAUCUUCCUCGACACGUUCCAUCCGAAAAUGGUCAAGAAGCCUGUCCUGUAAUAUUCGUUUAGGUCCAAUUGUACUUAAGUUAAGUUCGAUCAGUUUUUGUCGUAAUCGUUCUACUGUCAACGUCAGUAUUUCGUCCCAAUCCAUCUCUUUAAAAUUUAAAAUUACUCUUCGACCGCUGCCUGCAACGCCUUUUUUCUUAUCUGCUUCUCUGCCGUUGGAGCAAGCAACCACGGUGUGUCUUCAUGUAGUUACGUUUUGUCUCACCACACUGGCACCGCUUUGGGUUGAAGCCCUUUAUAUUUUUCUAUACAAACGCACACACAUACAUUUCCGAGACACAACCAUUUUUUUUUCGAUUGUUUUUUUUUUCGAUUGUACACUCGAUCGGUACACUCGAUCUUACACAAUGAUUUAGUUUUUUUUUUUUUUUUGCAAAAUAAAUUAAACUUAAGAAUUCAUAUGGAUAUUGAUUAAUUCUCAAACGAAAUAGCAAAACACAAAACACAACAUUCCAUUCUGAAUAUAAGAAGCGAACUAUCUUAUUGAAGUAAAUUUAAACUACAUUACAGCUAUGUCUUAUGUCUAACUUACUUCUACAGAUAAGAAUAUUUACAAAGAUAACAAACUGGAUAACAGCGGUGUGAAACAGAGAAAUAUUUGUUUGUAACAUGAUCCACACAGAUGUUAGUCAUAAACACAAUCUGCGUGAAUCAUGUAUACAAAGGAUCUAUGGCAUAUACCGUCGCCAUCCACUUUGAACCUAAAUAUGCAUCUAUAUUUAAACGUUAGUACAAUGAUGUAUAAAUAGAUAAUUAAACAGAUAUCGCUCAGAUGAAUUUAACGAAGGCAAAGAAUAUUUUCUGAAGAGCUUUCAUUAAAAACUUCUAUAGCUGACUCAUGGUCUUGUAGUUCAAAGUAUAGGGAUCUAUCAUUGUGUAUAAUGACAUCAGGUUCAGUGUUAUUAUUUUUAGAAAGUGCCUUUUUCACUUCUUCAGAUAUGUCGGUAAUGGCAGUACGAGUAGCAACAGAUUCUUUUACUAGAAUGUCAGCCAGCACUAGUGAAUCUUUUAUAAGUUUUCCAUAAGUUGCAGAAAAAUCCAUGUGUAGCGGGAGAUAUCAAUUCACAGGGUUGUAGGUUCAGUGGGGUCCAAAUCUUACAGGUUACAAAUGAAAUCUGUCUUCAAAUGACAUAUAACGCCGCUUUGUUUGGUUCUCUGCCGCCUCCUGUGUCGUUCGAGAAAACUUCCCACAGACGCUGAACAGGCAACAAAACAAAUGUCAAAAAAAUUAAAUAAAAUAUCGUGUUUUUGAAUGUUAAAAUUUAACAAUAUUCAAUUAAAAAAAUUUUAUUCAAAGAAAUAAUUACAAUUCAAAAAUUAAGCAAAGAAAAGAAAAUAAUAAUAUUAAGAAAAAAAAAAUUUAAAUAACAGUGGUUAUUACCCGACUGUUCAAAGAAAAACAAAGGCAGCUACUAAACAAGGCGGAGGAGAACCCGUCCGACGUGUGUGCAAUUAAUUUUAACUCAAGCUUCCAGUGUGGUGUUUUUCAAACAAUAGUGGAAUAAACCCGACCAUUGACAGCGAAGCACCAAACAAGAAUGACUUUGUAUGCCAAUAAGCUCGGCUUUUUAGCCCAGUAGAAUUAAACAUUUCAAAUGGAAAAAAUUAGAUCGUGCAAUUUUUUUUCAUAGGAUGAUAGAGGGGAUCACUGAGAGCUUAAAACCAGUUUUUCGGGAAAAUCGACCUUGUGCUUAAGCCGCCAUCUUGGAUUAAAGGUAAAACAAGUUUUAGUGAAUAACUCGGCCAUUUUUGAUUUUUGACAAAAACUAUGUAUGUAAAACUUGAAGAAAAUUUUAUUUUCUAUAACUUUUGUCUUAAUAAAUUUUUCUAUAUGACCUAUAUUUUUCGAGUUAAUUUGAAAAAACUAUACUCCUACUCAGCUCAAACUUUAUACCCGCUUUGAUUAUAGAUUUUAAGAUCAACGCAAUAUGGGAGUGUUUUUAUAUGUUUUUGGGGAUGAUAAAUCUAGCUGCAAUGUUAGUUUUUGCAAAUUCAUGAAAUUUUAUAAACAAAAGGAACUAUCUCAAAAUCGGUAAGUGUCGUUUUAAACAAAAUUUAUUAGUAAAUAUUAUAAUUGAUGUUUAGCAAGACAAGCAAGUUUUUGAAUUUUUCAAAUCGGUUCAUUAAUGCCUGAGAUAUGACCAAUUGUUUAUAACUCACUCUCUCUUUUAAGCUUUUAUUAUAAACAAUUGGUCAUAUCUCAGGCAUUAAUGAACCGAUUUGAAAAAUUCAAAAACUUGCUUGUCUUGCUAAACAUCAGUUAUAAUAUUUACUAAUUUUGUUUGAGCUGAGUAGGGGUAUAGUUUUUUCAAAUUAACUCGAAAAAUAUAGGUCAUAUAGAAAAAUUUAUUAAGACAAAAGUUAUAGAAAAUAAAAUUUUCUACAAGUUUAAUAUAUAUAAUUUUUGUCAAAAAUCAAAAAUGGCCGAGUUAUUCACUAAAACGUGUUUUACCUUUAAUCCAAGAUGGCGGCUUAAGCACAAGGUCGAUUUUCCCGAAAAACUGGUUUUAAGCUCCCAGUGAUCCCCUCUAUCAUCCUAUGAAAAAAAAUUGCACGAUCUAAUUAUUUCCAUUUCAGCUUAAUUUUUUGUACAUCCCGACUGGGCUAUUUAUACUUUUUGGCUGUGGGAUACACAGCUGAAUUUAAACUUUUGUAUGGUUGCCACCCUAGUUCUUUUACAUAAAAUGUUGGUUUUAUGGUUACCACCCAUGCUACUUUUGUAUUUGAAAAAAAUAAAUAAAUUAAAUGUUGAUUGAAGUGUUACACAUGUCGAUAAAUUUUAGGGCCUUUGAUUGCGAAUUGAAAGCUUGUUCCAGUUUAUAUAAAUUAUCUUGUACGGGUUUUAAUGAAAGGGUGUAAUUCGUUUUAUCAUGUGGGGAAGUCAAGGCAGCAGUAGAUUUUUGAAUGCAAUUUAGUUGUUUUUUUUAAGUUGAUCAGGAAAAACUUUUAGUAUAUCAACGCAUUCUGAUGAUUUAAUUGACGACUGUUUACAAAAUGAUUCGAUUUUCGUAAGAUGGGUUUUUAUAUUUAGCUGAGAUUUUUCAAUAGUUUUUGUAUUGGAAUCACUUAGUUCGUCCAAAAGUUCAGUAUUUUUCGUAAAGCUUUGACGAAUUUCUUUUUUGAGAUCGGAUACAGAUUCAUAAACUUCUUUUAUUUGAUCAUUGUUGACUUUGAUGGCCGAUAAAAUGUGGGAAAGUGUGAAGGUUCUACAUUCGUCACAGUAAAAACAGAAAUAUUCUGAUAACUCGGCUAUGUGAGCUUUUGCGGUCCUACUAAUUCCUGUACAUAUCGGAUGGAACAUUUUACAACAAAUCCCAUUACAAACUACCCAAUCAUUUGUUUUUGUAGAUAUGGUACAAUUAAUGUUUCCACAAGCUGAUGUUUUACUCAUGAUUAUAGAUUUGCUAAAAAUGUUCGCUCGCAGUGUACUCCGAAUUUAGUAAUGUACUUAGUAGGUACACAAACCAUAAAUCAUUGUAUAAGUGCAGUAGUAACAAGAUCUCUAGGGUUUCUAGGUCACGACAGGUGGCGCGGGAAGAAGUUUAUUGAUGGCUUGUAUGUAUAUGCAUGCAUGCAGUGAUGCAGUAAACGUUUGAAGAUGAAAAGGGCAGCGGAUGGAGGCAAGCUGAUGCUCUCAGUGUGAUGAAGGCAGGCAAGACAAUGAUUUUUGUCGUCACAAGAUGUAGGGAAGUCCAGUUGUUGUCCGCAGUCAAUGAUUUGAUUUUUUUAAUGCAAAGAAAAACCAAGGGUGUUGGAUGUAGUCAUCAAAUACGUACAAGGCAGAACAUAUACCAAAAUUGUACUCACCGGGGGGAGACAAUUGAAUGAGUUAGCUCUAUUCUCAAUAAAGAGAAAUUGUUAACAUUGGUGGUAGUUGUUGUUGUUGUUGGUAGAUACAGCAAGACACAAUAACUUUUAAUAGGUUUAAUUAUUUUUUUUUUUGUAAUGGCAAAUAAAUAAAACUUUUAGGUAAAAGUUAAAUGACAACUAAUUGGCGAAAUUGAUUGAAAUUAGUUUAAUUUAAAGUCAAAAAGACACUAGAAUCAGUUAACACUUUUUAACUUGAUAUAUAUGACGAUUUAAACGUUCAAUAAUAAAAAAUAUUCGGAGCAGAAAUAAAACACAGCCAAUCACUUAGAGAGAGUUAGGGUUAUGUUAGGGUUACCUUGAAGUUUAUAUAGUUCCUAUGGCUAUCUUUAAUAGUAAGGAUAGUUUCUCCUAAAUCCUUUUUUACUAUGUGUUUUUAUUUUUAUAUUAGUUUUGUCUCUAGUUUUAAUAAUACAAAAUACUGUGUCUCCAUCCUUAUAUCCUUGUUUUUAAAAUUUAAAUGUAAUCGUUCGUUGUUUUUUUUCACUUUUUUUAUUCUAUCUUUUAUUAAUUGAAAUAUUGCAAGUAGCGCACGUCUUAGACAUUUCAAAAGAGAAUAAAACCGACUGCUCUAGAGAGUAGUUAGUCGCAGACCAUCCAAUUUCCUUUCAUCUGUUACAUGUUUCUAAAGUUGCACUGUUUGCACUUAAAUGUAUGUAAAAUUAUUAUAAUACUUCUCAACUUUUAUUGAGUUGGAAAAAUAUACUUAACCCGGGUUAUGUCAAGGGAUUUGGCUCUAUUGAAUAGACGAUGUCUUGGCCCAUUUUUAUGGUUGUAUUGUAAGUAGUAAAUAAAGUGAUUUAAAUAGCGUGCUUAUUUGAGCAUAAAUAAUUGCAAUUUAAUAAAGCAUAUAUUUUUUUUUUGUUUUACUGGAAUAAAGUUAAAAAAAAAUAUUUUAAGUUAUAGUACGUUUUCUUUAAUAUUGAAUUCAAUUUAAGAAAAACAACUUAAUAAGUUUUUUACUUUUUUUUUUUUUAAUUUUGAAUAUUUUUUAGGUUGCCUGGAAGGUUAAUGUUGUGUAAUAUAGGUUGUUGAAAUAGUGUGUCAUCAUAAUACUCUAGAACCGCUGUCAUCUUGUACAUUAUUAUUUUAUUAUUAUUAUUAUCGACUUCCGUAAGAUUUCUCAACUCCUUUUUGAGUUGAAAAAAUACUUUAACCGUGGCUAUGCCAAAGAAUUAGGCUCUGUUGGAGUAUAGACCAUUUUCUAGACCCUUCUUGUACUAGUUGGCUUAGAGAGAAGAGCGUGUUUUGUCACUGCACUUCAUUGUUGAUUUGUAGUUCUCCACUUGUACAAAGAAGUUUCUGAAAGAAAUAAGUAAAAAUAUUUGUUUUAUUAUUAUCGACUUUCGUAAAACUUCUCAAAUAUAUCAAAUUGUAUUUGUUUUACGUAUAUAUUCGUAAAACAAUUUCAAUUUGAUUUACAACUUACAAUUUUGCAUGAUCCUUCUCGCUUGGAAUGUCGGGAAAAAGUGAGUUUCUUCAGAAAAUUGUCGCCCUUUUAUACUCUAAUUCGAGCUUUGGUGCUGCCAUUCAAAUUUGUAGAAGUUUAUUGAAAAUAAUGAGCCUUGGCAGCAUUUUUUUUCCAGCUGCUUAGCUUUCAUAUGAUUGUUUGUUGUUGUCGGUAUAUAUGUUUGUCUCUUUUUCACUCAUUGGAUCUAUUGGAAAUUAUAAAAUAUUUAAUUAUUAAUAAAUUAUUAACAUUUUUAAUAAUUCAUUACAAAAUUAUUGUUCCCCUUCGUCCUUCUUCCAAAUCAGCCUGAUUCGGGUGGUCUUGGCGGGUAUUCGCUCUUCCAUAGGGCUGGGUGCGGGAACCUUUGUGCUCCUUAGUAAUCUUACGAUCCAUAUUCCUUAUAUUCGCGGUUGUUCGGGUAAUUGUUUUAGAAGAAGGUCUGUUCACCUCGGCUGCUGCUUCUUGACUGACUGGAGUUUCUUUAGCGGACUGGUCUGAAUAAAAUCCUUUUAAAUCUCGUAUAGGGACACGAAUGGAAGAUUUGUUUUUGCUCCUCCUUUUUUUUUCUAAAAUGACAAUUACAGGACAAAUAAAGUUCUUCACCUCAAAAUGACCGUCGUAUCGAGAGGCUAGCAGGUUACAUGUGCUAAAAAUGACUGAAUUUUGCAUUUUCUCCAGGUCUUCACCAAGGUUUUCUUUUUCCAUCUGUGCUACCUGUGUUUUCGUAAUCAGGCCAGUGGCCGAGGUCACUAUUGGGACAAUGUUGACCGAAUCUGUGCGGUACACGACUGGUCUGGAAGAGAAGAGCUGCAUGAUGCAUCAACCUCCAUUGCUGAAAGUUGCUCGUUCUUCACUCCCUCGCCGCAAACCGGUGGCAGCAGAGGCGUCAUCCCUGGAAGUUUGUUUCCUUCCCUGGAGAGACAUUCCGUCACCUUGGUUUGCGGUUUGGUUGUUAUCCACUCCCUCAUCGCGAACCGGUGGCAGCAAAGGCGCCGCGGCGUUCCCGGAAGAUUGUGUUUACUACUAGCAUUGGGAUUUGACCCCGUCCUGCUAGUAGUAAACGUUGGCAAGGAUGUCGCUUCACUUGCUGGCGUAGGCUUUUAAGAUAACUUAGAGCAAGUGGCCGGCAAGCCUUGCUUCUUGCCAAGUUUUUCUUGUUUUGUUUGUUUGUUUAUUUGUUUUGUUUUUU